CUUAUACUCCCUCCGUCCCAAAAUUCUUAUCUUAGAUUAGUCUAGAUACGGAUGUAUCUAAUACCAAAACAUGACUUGAUACAUCCGUAUUUAGACAAAUCUAAGACAAGAAUUUUGGAACGGAGGGAGUAUUUC
rnacentral:pre_miRNA from 1 species